rnacentral:misc_RNA from 1 species
GAUGAAGAACGUAGCGAAAUGCGAUAAGUAAUGUGAAUUGUAGAAUUCAGUGAAUCAUCGAAUCUUUGAACGCACAUUGCGCCCCCUGGUAUUCCGGGGGGCAUGCCUGUUCGAGCGUCAUUUCACCACUCAAGCCUCGCUUGGUAUUGGGCAUCGCGGUCCGCCGCGCGCCUCAAAUCGACCGGCUGGGUCUUCUGUCCCCUAAGCGUUGUGGAAACUAUUCGCUAAAGGGUGUUCGGGAGGCUACGCCGUAAAACAACCCCAUUUCUAAGGUUGACCUCGGAUCAGGUAGGGAUACCCGCUGAACUUAAGCAUAUCAAUAAGCGGAGGA